rnacentral:rRNA from 1 species
AUUGAACGCUGGCGGAAUGCUUUACACAUGCAAGUCGAACGGUAACAGGCCGCAAGGUGCUGACGAGUGGCGAACGGGUGAGUAAUGCAUCGGAACGUGCCCAGUCGUGGGGGAUAACGCAGCGAAAGCUGUGCUAAUACCGCAUACGAUCUAUGGAUGAAAGCGGGGGACCGUAAGGCCUCGCGCGAUUGGAGCGGCCGAUGUCAGAUUAGGUAGUUGGUGGGGUAAAGGCCCACCAAGCCAACGAUCUGUAGCUGGUCUGAGAGGACGACCAGCCACACUGGGACUGAGACACGGCCCAGACUCCUACGGGAGGCAGCAGUGGGGAAUUUUGGACAAUGGGCGCAAGCCUGAACCAGCAAUGCCGCGUGCAGGAAGAAGGCCUUCGGGUUGUAAACUGCUUUUGUACGGAACGAAAAGGUCUGGGUUAAUACCCUGGGCCGAUGACGGUACCGUAAGAAUAAGCACCGGCUAACUACGUGCCAGCAGCCGCCGUAAGAC